GCUCUAACAGCAUGGGCCACCCGAUAGGCUCCUUCACGUGCGACCCCGGUCAUAGGGGUCAUGGCUGGUACCCGGUCGUAGGGGUCCGCAGGGUGGUUGGGCCCCCUGAAGUGACGGGCCCGGUCACAGCUGCGGUCCCUAUAUGUACACCACUGAUUAUGCUGUACCGUUUUCUGUUUUCAAAUUUAGCAUAGCUAGAGAGAGGGGGGCAGUGAGGUAAGACAAGAAAAUAACACACUUCUCCAGCACCACAGAGACCAUAGAGGACAAACAACCAAAUGUCACCAGCAACAGCCAGUCCUCCAAAAAACCCACAAUAGACAUCAGCAAUUAUUACUUAUUCAAGGCUGCUGCAUUUAUCUUCAAGUAAAAUAUUUCAGAUAACAUGGCCAUGUGUUCUUGUAUAAGAUAUACAAUCUGAUUUGUUUCCAGUACAAUAUGCAUCUAUUUAUCCUACAAGUCUGG